rnacentral:rRNA from 1 species
CCUACGGGAGGCAGCAGUGGGGGAUAUUGCACAAUGGGGGAAACCCUGAUGCAGCGACGCCGCGUGGGUGAAGAAGUAAUUCGUUACGUAAAGCUCUAUCAGCAGGGAAGAAAAUGACGGUACCUGAGGAAGAAGCCCCGGCUAACUACGUGCCAGCAGCCGCGGUAAUACGUAGGGGGCAAGCGUUAUCCGGAUUUACUGGGUGUAAAGGGGGCGUAGACGGCAGUGCAAGUCUGGAGUGAAAGGCGGGGGCUCAACCCCCGGACUGCUCUGGAAACUGUACGGCUGGAGUGCAGGAGGGGCAAGUGGAAUUCCUAGUGUAGCGGUGAAAUGCGUAGAUAUUAGGAGGAACACCAGUGGCGAAGGCGGCUUGCUGGACUGUAACUGACGUUGAGGCCCGAAAGCGUGGGGAGCAAACAGGAUUAGAUACCCUUGUAGUC